CGCGGGGUGGAGCAGUCUGGUAGCUCGUCGGGCUCAUAACCCGAAGGUCGGAGGUUCAAAUCCUCCCCCCGCUACCA
rnacentral:tRNA from 12 species